rnacentral:rRNA from 1 species
GUGGGGAAUAUUGGACAAUGGGCGAAAGCCUGAUCCAGCCAUGCCGCGUGUGUGAAGAAGGUCUUCGGAUUGUAAAGCACUUUAAGUUGGGAGGAAGGGCAGUAAGUUAAUACCUUGCUGUUUUGACGUUACCGACAGAAUAAGCACCGGCUAACUUCGUGCCAGCAGCCGCGGUAAUACGAAGGGUGCAAGCGUUAAUCGGAAUUACUGGGCGUAAAGCGCGCGUAGGUGGUUUUGUAAGUUGGAGGUGAAAUCCCCGGGCUCAACCUGGGAACUGACUCCAAAAGUGCAAGACUAGAGUACGGUAGAGGGUAGUGGAAUUUCCUGUGUAGAGGUGAAAUGCGUAGAUAUAGGAAGGAACACCAGUGGCGAAGGCGACUACCUGGACUGAUACUGACACUGAGGUGCGAAAGCGUGGGGAGCAAACAGGAUUAGAAACCCCUGUAGUCC